rnacentral:rRNA from 1 species
GAUCCUGGCUCAGGAUGAACGCUAGCGACAGGCUUAACACAUGCAAGUCGAGGGGUAGCAUGAGGUAGCAAUACCUUGAUGGCGACCGGCGCACGGGUGAGUAACGCGUAUGCAACCUGCCCGAUACCGGGGUAUAGCCCAUGGAAACGUGGAUUAACACCCCAUAGUACUUUUAUCCUGCAUGGGAUGUGAGUUAAAUGUUCAAGGUAUCGGAUGGGCAUGCGUCCUAUUAGUUAGUUGGG